GCACUGAUCCACGACAAUGCCCCGUGAGUGAUGAAGGCCUUAGGGUUGUAAAGCUCUUUUACCCCGGACGAAAAAGAAAUGUACCGGGAGAAUAAGGGGCGGACUAAGUCCUUGCCAGACAACCGCCGGGGAGU
rnacentral:rRNA from 1 species